rnacentral:rRNA from 1 species
GGCAAAAACACGUCGUAGUUUCGUAAAAAAAAUAUUACAAUGAUCAUUUCAAAAAAGUUUGAAUAAUUUGUACUGCACACAUGGCAAAUUUGCGAAAAACUGUUGUAUUCCUACAUAGAAGCAUGACAAGUUAUGUAAAAAUGUAAAUGUAACAAAAUAAAAAGAAAAAAGCAUGGCAAUUAUCUAAAAAACUGUAAUUGUACCCUAAAGAAAAGACAAAAUCAUGGCAGAUCAGAAAAAUGAUUUGUUGACCAAUCGAUUGUUUGAUUACAGUAGCAGCAGCGUCACUAAAUUAACCAUGGCAAAAAAGAAGAAGUUGACAAGGCAAACAAUUUAGGUGAUAUGUCAAAUUAAAUCACUGAAUAAACAUGGCAACUUGGCACAAGUGUGCAAAUUAGUACAUCUGAAGGAGACACGCUGAAUAUAGUGGUAAGCUCGAUCUAGUAAACUGAGCAUUCUAGAGCAGCAAAAUGCAUAAGCAUAGCAGCAGCAAACAAACGCUAAAAAAUGAUCUGUACUGAGAGGGAGGAGAAGCACUGACGGCCGACGAAGGACUGAUGACGCGUGCUCUUCCAUGCGCGGCGACGGAGCAGGAAACGGCGAAGACGAUGUUGACGCACCGAUGCUCCUCCAUGCUCGGCCACCGCGGACGCUCCUCGUGCGGCAACCGCGGAGUGCCUCUGCUCCUCUAGACGCAACAACGGGCAGCCUGAUGCCUCCUCGUGCAGCCUGAUGGCUCCACGCUUCGAUGGCUCCUCUAGACGCAUCGAUGGAUUCAAGUGGAGGGCACGCGGGAGGCGGCCUAUUAGACCGGCGGCGGCGCGACGGCCGGCGGGGACGACGAGCCCACAAAUCUCCACCGCCCAGCACCUCGGCCACGGUGACCGGCAACCACCACGCGCGCUAGGCUAUCUCCGCCACCGCCAACACGGCGCUGCGCACCAGCAUCGUCGCCGAGUACUGCCUCCGUCCGCCACCGUCGAAGAUUCGAAUCACGGCAUCGCCGCAUGCCUCCUCCCGCUCCUCGUCUCCGCCGCCUACGCCUCCUCUCCCAGGCAUCGCACACUUGGGUACGGCGCAGGUCAUCUUAUCGCCGACUGGCUCGUCGCCGACCGCCUGGCCGUCUUCGCAAGAGCUCUCUCCCUCUGUCCCAUGCGCGAGGGUGGGGAACGGAGAAAAGGAUAAGAGAGAGAGAGGUGUGUCGCAGUGCGGGCG